UCCUAUGCUGUAAACGAUGCUCACUAAGUGUUAGGCAAUGCAAGACGUUGUCUAGUGCCGAAGCGAAAGCGUUAAGUGAGCCGCCUGGGAAGUACGUUCGCAAGAAUGAAACUUAAAGGAAUUGGCGGGGGCCUACUACAAGAAGUGGAGCCUGCGGUUUAAUUGGACUCAACUCCGGGAAACUCACCUGGGCCGUAACGUGAA
rnacentral:rRNA from 1 species